rnacentral:rRNA from 1 species
CGGAAGGCAGCAGUGGGGAAUAUUGCACAAUGGGCGCAAGCCUGAUGCAGCCAUGCCGCGUGUAUGAAGAAGGCCUUCGGGUUGUAAAGUACUUUCAGUCGUGAGGAAGGUGUUAAGGUUAAUAACCUUAGCAAUUGACGUUAGCGACAGAAGAAGCACCGGCUAACUCCGUGCCAGCAGCCGCGGUAAUACGGAGGGUGCGAGCGUUAAUCGGAAUUACUGGGCGUAAAGGGCACGCAGGCGGUUAAUUAAGUUGGAUGUGAAAUCCCCGGGCUUAACCUGGGAAUGGCAUUCAAGACUGGUUAGCUAGAGUCUUGUAGAGGGGGUAGAAUUCCAUGUGUAGCGGUGAAAUGCGUAGAGAUGUGGAGGAAUACCGGUGGCGAAGGCGGCCCCUGGACAAAGACUGACGCUCAUGUGCGAAAGCGUGGGGAGCGAAACAGGGAUUAGAUAC